rnacentral:rRNA from 1 species
CCUACGGGAGGCAGCAGUGAGGAAUAUUGGUCAAUGGGCGAGAGCCUGAACCAGCCAAGUCGCGUGAGGGAGUACUGCCCUAUGGGUUGUAAACCUCUUUUGUCGGGGAGCAAAAGCCGGACGUGUCCGGCUGUGAGAGUACCCGAAGAAAAAGCAUCGGCUAACACCGUGCCAGCAGCCGCGGUAAUACGGAGGAUGCGAGCGUUAUCCGGAUUUAUUGGGUUUAAAGGGUGCGCAGGCGGAUUUUUAAGUCAGCGGUAAAAUCGUGGGGCUCAACCCCAUCCAGCCGUUGAAACUGGGGAUCUAGAGUGUGCGAGAGGUAUGCGGAAUGCGUGGUGUAGCGGUGAAAUGCAUAGAUAUCACGCAGAACCCCGAUUGCGAAGGCAGCAUACCGGUGCACAACUGACGCUCAGGCACGAAAGCGUGGGUAUCGAACAGGAUUAGAUACCCGAGUAGUC